CAAGAAAUAGUUUAAAUAAAAUAUUAAUUUUGGGGAUUAAAGUUAAAGAAAUUUCUUUUUUCUUGA
rnacentral:tRNA from 1 species